rnacentral:rRNA from 1 species
CCAGCACAUAAUGGUGGGCGACUCUGUGGAGGACUGCCCGGUUAACCGGGAGGAAGGUGGGGAUGACGUCAAGUCAUCAUGGCCCUUACGCCUAGGGCUACACACGUACUACAAUGGUGGGUACAAAGGGCAGCGAAACCGCGAGGUCGAGCGAAUCUCAAAAAACCCAAUCAUAGUCCGGAUUGCAGUCUGCAACUCGACUGCAUGGAGUUGGAAUCGCUAGUAAUCCCGGAUCAGCAUGCCGGGGUGAAUACGUUCCCGGGCCUU